UACGAAGGGUGCAAGCGUUACUCGGAAUUACUGGGCGUAAAGCGUGCGUAGGUGGUUCGUUAAGUCUGAUGUGAAAGCCCUGGGCUCAACCUGGGAACUGCAUUGGAUACUGGCGAUCUGGAGUGCGGUAGAGGGGUGCGGAAUUCCCGGUGUAGCAGUGAAAUGCGUAGAUAUCGGGAGGAACAUCCGUGGCGAAGGCGGCACCCUGGACCAGCACUGACACUGAGGCACGAAAGCGUGGGGAGCAAAC
rnacentral:rRNA from 1 species